CUCCCCCCUUUCCAUGCCAGGGCCUCCUCUGCUGCUCUGAAAUCAGCUGACCUUCUGGUGUAGAAACCUCAGCUAGCUCUGUGCUGGAAUGAUGUGGCAGAAGGUGAUUGGCUCAGUGGGGCCCUAAAAGGAGCUGCAGCCAAAGGGAUUCUGUAGAAGAGGCUGCUCCUCUGAAACACUUCUCAGCCCUGUUCCUCGCCAUCAGGCCACAGCCUUCUGAACCCUGAGCAGCCAUGUGCUACUCCAAGAUAUCCUUCAAAUAUCGAGAGAAAAUGAAGACUGAAGUGGUAAGAAGCUCUUCCCCAUGUAUAGAUAGGGUGUGGGUGGGGCCUGGGUUUGACUGUGGGAGGGUAACAAUGUUCUGGCCUUCCUGGGAUCCAGGAAGGAGAAGGAUCAGAUCUCUUUGUCCCAACUCUGUUUUUCCAGAACCAGGCUAUAGACAUAUUCUUUGAUGGGCUCAAUCCCGAAGAAGAGGACCAGGUCCAAGUAGGCAUAAAAAAGCUGGAGGACCGCUUCAACGAUGCCUUUGUUGAUACCGUAGUUGCUCACUGUGAGGACAACCAGGAAUGUGCUCCCUUACUUCCGGAACAGCAGCAGGAACUGCGGAACAGAAUCCGUAGUAAAGUCCAGGAACCAGGCUCGGAGCAGAAAUCUGAGCCGGAAGGAUCGAACAAUGAAAGUUCAGGGGCCCAGAAACCUGAGGAGAGCUUUGGGGAAUGGGUACUGAGGUUGUUCCGAGAGAUGCUAAAUCGACAGAAGAAGAUAUGGAAGGAUGUGCUGGCCUCAAUUUUUGCCUCCUUUGUCAAAGUGGCGAAGACCAUCUGGAGUGUAAUUGAGAGUUUCUUCUCUAGUGUGGCAAAGUGUUUCUCAAGUUUAUGCCAGGCCUAAGGAGUCCCAUGAGAUCCUGGAGGAGCUCAGCCACACCUCCCAGCCCUUUGAUUCCCCCGUUCCCAUAGAAUAUUUGCUUUCCUGCUCACCCCUGACCCAUCCUCCACAACCUCCCUCACGUCCACCCUGUUCACAGCCUCUCUUCCCAGCUUGCCUGGGUUUCCUUCUCUUGCUAUGGCGUUUUAAUAAAAGCUGGUUGGCCUUGGGAGGGGGCACAAGUGGGGUGGAGGAGGUCAAUGGGGAAAAAGGGAGAUCUGUAAUACUUUCAACAAUAAAGGUGAUUUGCUUCAAAA